AGAAGCUGCCCAUAUGCCACGGUGUCAACUAUGCAGAUAGGCCCAGAUCAGCCAACAUGACACACAUCACGUUGAACAGAAACGCCCACAGGAGCCUGGGAGAAGAUGCCGUCAGGAAUUGACAAGAAGCAUUUCGGCAGCUUAGUCUCCCUUCUCCUCCUCUCAAGAAUAAGGGUGAUGUUGUCAGCCUCUCAGAUGGUUGAGAAAACGACUUAGCCCAGUGCCUGACACCCAGAAACCACUCCAUAUAAGCGCCCCAUCCCCGUUGCUGUUCCACUGGAGAGAAAUGGAAACAAGGCUGUGGUAAACGACAUGCUUGGAUUGCAGCUAGACCUUGCAGCUUUUCAGGGAAUUGCGCCACAGAAAUGGAUCUCAGCUCAUCUCCACGAGCUCAUCUGCAUACCACGCAGGUCGUCGCUGGGAGAAAGCGUGUCUUCAGAGCGGACCGUGAAUCAAGCAUCCUGUCUGGAGUCUAAUAUCUGCUCAGGAAAGGUAAUCCUAUGACGCUUAUGAUUGAAAGGUGAGCAAUGGAAAGCAUUCUGGAAUUUGAAGGAUGAUUUUCAUUUUGAAAAACAAAGGUGAGAACAUCGAACUUCACUCUUCAGGCUCUGCUGUGAUUUCCUUGGCGUUUCGAGCAAGAGAUUUCCCAGGGUCCCCUGAGAGUGGCUACCACCUGUCUAGACACUUCCCAAAUCACAGUGAACACCUGUAGUCUCCUUUCCUCCCUGGUGAUUCUGACACUUAGUUUCAUAGUUAUUAAUGUGUAUGAGACUGUUAAAUUAUUUAAGUGUUGAAUUCAGUUCUGAUAUAUUUUUGUGUCCCCCACAGCUGCUCAUUUAGCAAUUUGUACAUAUAUUUGCUCAAGUAAGUAUGGUGAUUGGAUGAAUUAUGCACAGCUUGACAUCCCAACCAUGAUCUUUGAGGAAAUAUGGGAGCUAUAAACGAAGGAGACAAUUAUACUGCUCUUAUUCAGUUGAUCUAAGUAUUGGUGCUAUCUCUAAGACUGGACUCAAGAAGUUUUAAAGCAAAAUCUAAAAGCGAUUUCUCCCUGUGUAGGCAUUAUCUGUGUACACUGUUGAACACGUAGAGAGUACGGAAAGUACAGCGUCAAUGGAAAAAUUCCUGGUGUGGUUUCUUGUUCCUGACCGACUCAAUAACAAAGAAUUACUGAGCUCCCGUUGUGUACUGGACACCAUGCUAGGUCCUGGAGACAGAGCAGUAAAGGAGACAGACAAGGUUCCUGAUGCCAGUGCCCUGCCGGUUUCCAUGAUGGACAAGUAAGGUGUCAGGACCUGACUGGACUGUAUUUGCUUUUCUGGGGUAGAAGAUGCUCCUGCUCUCACAAAGUGGUUGCCCAUCUCACAUGCAAGCAUAUCCAGUGACAGAUGACAUAUCUACCUGGAGCUUGCUAUCUCU